AGUAAAUAGAUACCCAGGUAGUCCACGCCGUAAACGAUGUCGACUUGGAGGUUGUGCCCUUGAGGCGUGGCUUCCGGAGCUAAACGCGUUAAGUCGACCGCCUGGGGAGUACGGCCGCAAGGUUAAAACUCAAAUGAAUUGACGGGGGCCCGCACAAGCGGUGGAGCAUGUGGUUUAAUUCGAUGCAACGCGAAGAACCUUACCUACUCUUGACAUCCAGAGAACUUAGCAGAGAUGCUUUGGUGCCUUCGGGAACUCUGAGACAGGUGCUGCAUGGCUGUCGUCAGCUCGUGUUGUGAAAUGUUGGGUUAAGUCCCGCAACGAGCGCAACCCUUAUCCUUUGUUGCCAGCGGUUAGGCCGGGAACUCAAAGGAGACUGCCAGUGAUAAACUGGAGGAAGGUGGGGAUGACGUCAAGUCAUCAUGGCCCUUACGAGUAGGGCUACACACGUGCUACAAUGGCGCAUACAAAGAGAAGCGACCUCGCGAGAGCAAGCGGACCUCAUAAAGUGCGUCGUAGUCCGG
rnacentral:rRNA from 1 species